UACGGAGGGUGCGAGCGUUGUUCGGAAUCAUUGGGCGUAAAGGGCGUGUAGGUGGUCUGUUAAGUCAUGUGUGAAAGCCCUCAGCUUAACUGGGGAAGUGCGCAUGAAACUGACAGGCUAGAGUACCGAAGAGGAAGGUGGAAUUUCCGGUGUAGCGGUGAAAUGCGUAGAUAUCGGAAGGAACACCAGUGGCGAAAGCGGCUUCCUGGUCCAGCACCGACGUUCAGGCACGAAAGCGUGGGGAGCAAACAGG
rnacentral:rRNA from 1 species